rnacentral:rRNA from 1 species
UACGAAGGGGGCUAGCGUUGCUCGGAAUCACUGGGCGUAAAGCGCACGUAGGCGGGUUCUUAAGUCAGGGGUGAAAUCCUGGAGCUCAACUCCAGAACUGCCUUUGAUACUGGGAAUCUCGAGUCCGGGAGAGGUGAGUGGAACUGCGAGUGUAGAGGUGAAAUUCGUAGAUAUUCGCAAGAACACCAGUGGCGAAGGCGGCUUCCUGGACCGGUUCUGACACUGAGGAGCGAAAGCGUGGGGAGCGAUCCGG